AACCACCAUUAGCAAGAGGAAUCCAGCACAUCACUGCUUAGGAGGGGCAGGGCUGUGAGUCUGCAGGGUGGAGGGCAAGGGAAUGGAAAGGACUGGAGAGGACAUUGAUUUUCUUAGAGGAAAAAGUGAGCAAGAAUGACCUCAAUGGAAAAAUAUUCUCUCUCUCUCUCCCUUUCUGUCUCAUGGACAAAUAUAGCCCUACACGUUAUGCAAAGGCAGCGUUCAAGCAUGCUUGGAAUGAGCAACUUGGGAGGCAAAUUGCUACCACUUGUCCCCACUCUUGUUUUUUGGCUUUUAUUUCUUUUUCUUGCUUUGUCUUCUCCCCUCCAGCGUGGUCCAGCCUUUACAGCUGCCACAAAGCCACCUCAGAGGGAGCCCCUGACUCAGGAGGACAGAGGGGUGUCCAGGGGACAGCUGCCAGCUGUGACAACCACCACUGGUGUUCCCAAAACGACCUGAGAGGAAAAAUGGAUUGAACCAGGGCUGUGUGGGUUAAAGAAGGGAGAAACGGUUGGGCUGAAUAACAGAAAAGUCUUUCCAACAGUAAGGAAUGCCCGGAGAUCUUGCCAGCACCCAUCCCAGGCCAUCCUUAGGGACCAGUUCAGCAGUACCUGUCCAGGAGGGCACAGGCAGCCAUUCCCCCUGACAGACUCCCUGCUCAGCAGCAGCCCAGACCAUUUCCUUACUACCCUAUUUCUGCAUAAUUCCCUUCUCUUUCACUACAAACAUUACAGAACAUUUCUGCUGGGAGUCAAAGGGCUGCCAAGUGCCUGUAGCUGUUUCCAUCAUCUCCCAGCCCCAGCUGUGUUUUACCUGGAGGCUGCAGCUCCCAUGGACCUGCUGUGUUCCAGUGGCUUCUCUGCUGCUUGUCCUUGGUUUGCUCCUCGAUGGAAGCCAGCUCCAAGGGGCUGGAGGGACCCUGUGACCCCCUCUGCCCCACAGCCAGUGCCAGCCCCAGCUCACACCAACAUUCCAUUGGGACAGCAGCACAGGAAACACCCUGGGCCACCUCUGGACACGGCUCCCAUCCUUUGGUUAUCCCUGCUUGUGUUUCACUUGUGGGGCUGGAAAUCUCAGCUUCCUGGUGAAACACAGGAUUGCUCAGGAAAAAUCCAAAUGCUGACAGCACAAGAAGAUACAAGCACGAGUCUAUAAGCAGGAGGCCCUUAUCUCCAUCCUUCUCUCAGCAAGGGCGAGUGGCUGACUGAGGUGGUCCUGGCUUCCCCCAGGACUGCUCUCUCCCUCUCUGCUACCCUGGUAAUGCAGAUUCUGGCCCAUUAAAGGCUUGCUGUCCCUUCUCUCUUCCA